CGUGAACCGUCUAUGUCGUACGUUGAACCUGUCAUGUGACGGUGCUGUGCCAGCUGCAGUGCUUCCUGUGUGGUGUGCAUGUGCGAACCAGCAAUGCCAGGUCACCAAUGAGCAGAAGGGAUCCGGAUUGGUCGGCGCAACAUGAAACCAAUCUCAAAGCUCCCAUGAAGUCAUAUGAAGGCAGAGGGGAGAUAUGGAAGAGAGAAUGCAGAACCGCCCUAACCAAUUUGAUGCCCAUGGGGUCAUUCCGUGUCAAGUGGAACAAUUUUGAAAAUUGUCCUCACUUCACCAUCUCCGAUUUUGUUGAAAUUUUGCAUGAAAGUUGGUAUAUAUGCUUGUAUAAUUAACUUUGGUAAAGUUUCAGUUCACAGAAUGCAAUAUUAGUGGAGUUGUGGCACUUGUAGUGGAGGUAGGUAAAACUGUCACAGAAUCCACGGUGCACAAUCAGCAAUGUUCAAGUAAUUGCUGUGGCAGAUC